ACCUACGGGAGGCAGCAGUGGGGAAUAUUGCACAAUGGGGGAAACCCUGAUGCAGCGACGCCGCGUGAGCGAAGAAGUAUUUCGGUAUGUAAAGCUCUAUCAGCAGGGAAGAAAAUGACGGUACCUGACUAAGAAGCCCCGGCUAACUACGUGCCAGCAGCCGCGGUAAUACGUAGGGGGCAAGCGUUAUCCGGAUUUACUGGGUGUAAAGGGAGCGUAGACGGCGUAUCAAGUCUGAUGUGAAAGGCAGG
rnacentral:rRNA from 1 species